rnacentral:rRNA from 2 species
UAGCGUAUAUUAAAGUUGUUGCAGUUAAAAAGUCUCGUAGUUGGAUUUCUGGAUCGAGCUCUCUGUCCGCCGCUGUGCGGUGCGUACUUGAGUAGUCUCGUUUCAUCCUUGCAGGGAAGCGUGUUCGACAUUAAUUUGUCGACACGGGGAACUGCAUCUUUUACUGUGAAAAAAUUAGAGUGUUUAAAGCAGGCAUUUUGCUGUGAAUACAUUAGCAUGGAAUAAUAACAUAGGACCCUGGUUCUAUUUUGUUGGUUGGAGGCCAAGGUAAUGAUUAAUAGGGACAGUUGGGGGUAUUCAUAUUUAAUUGUCAGAGGUGAAAUUCUUGGAUUUAUGAAAGAUGAACUCAUGCGAAAGCAUUUACCAAGGAUGUUUUCAUUAAUCAAGAACGAAAGUUAGGGGAUCGAAGAGGAUUAGAUACCCUCGUAGUCUUAACCAUAAACUAUGCCGACUGGGGAUUGGCGGACGUACUUUUUAUGGCUCCGUCAGCACCUUACGAG